rnacentral:rRNA from 1 species
GACGAACCGUCCUAACGUUGUUCGGAAUCACUGGGCUUAAAGGGCGCGUAGGCGGCGGCACAAGUCCGGGGUGAAAUCUUUCGGCUUAACCGGAAAAGGGCUUCGGAUACUGUGUCGCUUGAGGGAGGUAGGGGCACGUGGAACUUCUGGUGGAGCGGUGAAAUGCGUUGAUAUCAGAAGGAACGCCGGUGGCGAAAGCGACGUGCUGGCCCUCUUCUGACGCUGAGGCGCGAAAGCCAGGGGAGCGAACGGGAUUAGAUACCCCGGUAGUCCUGGCCCUAAACGAUGGGUACUAGGUAGUGGGCUUGACAUGGGCUCACUGCCGAAGCAAAAGUGUUAAGUACCCCGCCUGGGGAGUAUGGUCGCAAGGCUGAA